GCUCAAAUUUGAAAUCUUCAGGGGUUUCCCUUUACGAAUUGUAGUUUAAAGAAGUGUUUUCUGUUGAGGUUUUGGUAAAAGUUCUUUGGAAUAGGACAUCAUAGAGGGUGAGAAUCCCGUAUUUGACCUUUACUUUCAACUUUGUGAUACACUUUCAAAGAGUCGGAUUGUUUGGGAAUGCAGUCCAAAAUGGGUGGUAAAUUUCAUCUAAAGCUAAAUAUUGGCGAGAGACCGAUAGCGAACAAGUACCGUGAGGGAAAGAUGAAAAGAACUUUGAAAAGAGAGUUAAACAGUACGUGAAAUUGUCAAAAGGGAAGCGUUUGACACCAGUGUUGUUUUUCUGAAAAUCAAUUAAAGAACUGUUUAUGCUAAGUUGUUUAGACUUUAUCAGCUAACUGUUUAGUUUUGAGCUUCUCUUUAAUGCACUUUUCAUUUAACAAG
rnacentral:rRNA from 1 species